AUUGAACGCUGGCGGCAGGCCUAACACAUGCAAGUCGAGCGGAGCGGCGGACGGGUGAGUAAUGCCUAGGAAUCUGCCUGGUAGUGGGGGAUAACGUCCGGACACGGGCGAUAAUACCGCAUACUAUCAGAUGAGUCUAGGUCGGAUUAGCUAGUUGGUGGGGUAAAGGCCUACCAAGGCGACGAUCCGUAACUGGUCUGAGAGGAUGAUCAGUCACACUGGAACUGAGACACGGUCCAGAUUCCUACGGGAGGCAGCAGUGGGUAAUAUGUGACAAUGGGCGAAAGCCUGAGCCAGCCAUGCCGCGUGUGUGAAGAAGGUCUUCGGAUUGUAAAGCACUUUUAGUUGGGAGGCGUUACCAACAGAAUAAGCACCGGCGAACUUCGUGCCAGCAGCCGCGGUAAUUC
rnacentral:rRNA from 1 species